rnacentral:rRNA from 1 species
GAACGUCGUGAGACAGUUCGGUCCCUAUCCGCUGUGCGCGUAGGAAUAUUGAGAAGGGCUGUCCCUAGUACGAGAGGACCGGGACGGACGAACCUCUGGUGUGCCAGUUGUUCUGCCAAGGGCAUGGCUGGUUGGCUACGUUCGGAAAGGAUAACCGCUGAAAGCAUCUAAGCGGGAAGCCUGCUUCGAGAUGAGUAUUCCCACCAACUUGAUUGGUUAAGGCUCCCAGUAGACGACUGGGUUGAUAGGCCAGAUGUGGAAGCCCGGUAACGGGUGGAGCUGACUGGUACUAAUAGGCCGAGGGCUUGUCCUCAGUUG